CACUCGAGUCGAACCCAGGACCUGCGCUCAUGCAGCAUCUGUGCAGGCGGGGCGUAGGGGUCCCCGUUCCCCUCACCUCCCCCAUCUCAGUUGCCACCUCGCGUCCCCUCUUCGCUUCUCUCUGGUGUAGCUUUCUUCCUCGCAUCACCCACUCCUGCUCAUGGCCGCACUGUCCGAUGUGCUCGAUUCGAGCAAACUUUGGCUCAGAUUCGGGUGAGGGAGAUCUAGAUCUGGUGCUAUUCGGUUGAUUUGUGCAUGUGGGCAGAAGAGCAUAACGGCGGGGGCGGGGGCGGGGGCUGCGAGCGAAGCUGCCUAGCCAAGCCCGUCCAGGCAGACCCAUCUAAGCAGCAGAAGGGAUCCGGCACCGCCGUGGGUGCUCUUGUAUUCAAUGGUCCUGGUCAGCUUCAAACUUGCUCUUGAUGGCAGCUACAAACUUUGUUCUCGAUGUAUUUUUUUCAUCAAGCAUGAGUACAAUUUAUACCCACCAUUUGUAUCGAGCAAUAAUGCUCUUUGUAUGCACCACCGUGGUGAAUACUUCACCCCAAGUAAUGUACUAGUAAUGUAAAAUUAUUACUACUGCUCUCUUGCACAGACUGAAAAAAAGAUACAAGUGACAAGUA